rnacentral:lncRNA from 1 species
GACUGACCAGGCACUGCCUGGCCCCCAGGAGGUCCAGCUGGGAGGAGGCCCGUGGCUGGCUGAGCCAGGGUCUGCAGUGGCUAUGAAUUCUAGUUAGGUCCAAAAGUCCAGAUGGGUGACCUGAUGGGACCCCUGGCCUCAUGGCCACACAACUCACCACCAGCACGCAUACUCAGAAACUGGCCGCAGUUUGGCUGUGGACAGAGGCAGCCGGCUCAGCCACGGCUUCCGGAACCAGAACACAAGCCGUCCAGCUCCUGAUGGCCCUGGGACAUGCAUGUCCUGCUGGGUGCUGUGACCAGUCCUCCAGCUGGUGCAGGGCCACACUCACAUACCAUAGGACAGACAAGAGAACACCCAAACCCAGCCCUCCACCCACAUGCCAGGUGGAAGAAACGCAGAAGUCAGACCGUCGCCCAUUCGACCCCGCUGAGACGGCUCCUAUUCCUGCCGCGCCGGGAAGGUCUGAGCUCCCAGCCUCUGAGUGGGCCGUGUGCUGCUUUGGUCUGAGCUCCCAGCCUCUGAGUGGGCUGUGCGCUGCUUUGGUCUGAGCUCCCAGCCUCUGAGUGGGCCGUGCGCUGCUUUGGUCUGAGCUCCCAGCCUCUGAGUGGGCCGUGUGCUGCUCUCUGAUCGCUAGCUUUAAAAAAGUCUAUUUCUGUGAAAGGCAGAGAGCUGCUUGUCCUCAGGCAAGAAAGGAUUCGGACGUGACACAGAGCGGCAGUCAGGGUGCACCUGGCGGAGCGGGCGGCGCCCCAGCGUCUCAGCCUUUCAGGGCUGCAGAUCCGCAGACCUGCCCCCUUCUGCCCGCCCCCGUGGUGAACCACCUGCUGCUUCUGGGAUACGACUAGGUAGAGGGCAUGAAGUUCCUGAAAUCCCCCCCCUUUCAGCCCCAAGGGUGUGGGGCAGGGAGGACCCCCCUCUGCCGUCCUCUGGAGAGGGCUGGGACCACCCCCCCCCCACACACACGGUUAUCAACAGUGAGACUGGAUGAGUCGCUGCUGGCCGGCGCACAGCUGUCUGUGUUCCAGCACACAGGAAUGCCCUUUUUCUUCAGCCCCCUCGCAGGCUGGUGUCCAACGACCCGCCAAGCCUGGCCCGGGCCAGAACAUGAUCUCGGACGGAACAUUUCCAGGCCUUGGUGCUGACCACAGCCGUCGACUCGGUGGGUGGAUGCCGCGGGGUGCUCAGCAAAGCCAGGGGGUGACUGACAGCCUGGCCUCCAUGCUGAGAUCGGCGUGGGGCCCGCUGUGGCCCUAAUCGAAGCACCUUCCUUUCCUUGCCCUUUUUUUCUUAUCUUAUAUAAUAAAACCCAGCUUCCGGUAUUGUGAAUUACCUGC